GGGGUCGACUUGGUAUCGAUUAGAGCAGUGAGUAUUAGUUGCAUGUCGGUUUGGAUAUAUCGUUAAUCUAUCCAUUUUUUUUAGACGCAAAUAAUACAAAUUACGCUCCAGCUUACGCACACGCUGCAUAAGUUUUAAUUUAAGGACUCCCUUCGGGUUGAGACCUUGGAGGUUCACACUACUGAUUCUAUCUAAGUAGAUUUCGUGGACUCACCCUAGAUAGAUUAUUUUUUAGUUUUGAUUGAGCUAAAAAAGACAUUUAGAUCUUAGCCCUGCAGACGCUUUGCAGGUUGUGCUGCUGUAAAGGUGAAAUAUUACAACCUUUUCUAAGCAUGUAGACGCUGAUAUGAUCUGUUUUAAGACUGGAGUUCAAUUCUCCACGACUCCACCA
rnacentral:tmRNA from 1 species